rnacentral:rRNA from 1 species
AACGAACGCUGGCGGCAGGCUUAACACAUGCAAGUCGAACGCACCUUUCGGGUUGAGUGGCCGACGGGUGAGUAACGCGUGGGAAUCUACCCUUCUCUACGGGAUAGCUCCGGGAAACUGGAAUUAAUACCGUAUACGUCCUGAGGGAGAAAGAUUUAUCGGGGAAGGAUGAGCCCGCGUUGGAUUAGCUAGUUGGUGGGGUAAAGGCCUACCAAGGCGACGAUCCAUAGCUGGUCUAAGAGGAUGAUCAGCCACAUUGGGACUGAGACACGGCCCAAACUCCUACGGGAGGCAGCAGUGGGGAAUAUUGGACAAUGGGCGCAAGCCUGAUCCAGCCAUGCCGCGUGAGUGAUGAAGGCCCUAGGGUUGUAAAGCUCUUUCAGUGGGGACGAUAAUGACGGUACCCACAGAAGAAGCCCCGGCUAACUUCGUG